AGAAUCAACGCUGGCGGCGUGCCUAACACAUGCAAGUCGCACGAGAAAGGGACUUCGGUCCUGAGUACAGUGGCGCACGGGUGAGUAACACGUGAAUAAUCUACCUCCGAGUGGGGAAUAACUGAGAGAAAUCUUAGCUAAUACCGCAUAAUACCCACGGGUCAAAGCAGCAAUGCGCUUGGAGAGGAGUUCGCGGCCGAUUAGUUAGUUGGCGGGGUAAUGGCCCACCAAGACGAUGAUCGGUA
rnacentral:rRNA from 1 species